rnacentral:rRNA from 1 species
CAACUUUCAGCAAUGGAUCUCUUGGCUCUCGCAUCGAUGAAGAACGCAGCGAAACGCGAUAUGUAAUGUGAAUUGCAGAUCUACAGUGAAUCAUCGAAUCUUUGAACGCACCUUGCGCUCCCUUGGUAUUCCGAGGAGCAUGCCUGUUUGAGUGUCAGUAAUU